AAGACCUUGCGCUUUUGGAGCGGCCGAUGCCUGAUUAGCUAGUUGGUGGGGUAAUGGCCUACCAAAGCUUCGAUCAGUAGCUGGUCUGAGAGGACGGCCAGCCACACUGGGACUGAGACACGGCCCAGACUCCUACGGGAGGCAGCAGUGGGGAAUUUUGGACAAUGGGCGCAAGCCUGAUCCAGCCAUGCCGCGUGAGUGAAGAAGGCCUUCGGGUUGUAAAGCUCUUUCAGCCGGGAAGAAAAGGUUGCGAUUAAUAAUCGCAAUUUAUGACGGUACCGGAAGAAGAAGCACCGGCUAACUACGUGCCAGCAGCCGCGGUAAUACGUAGGGUGCGAGCGUUAAUCGGAAUUACUGGGCGUAAAGCGUGCGCAGGUGGUUUUGUAAGUCAGAUGUGAAAUCCCCGGGCUUAACCUGGGAACU
rnacentral:rRNA from 1 species